AUUGAACGCUGGCGGCAUGCUUUACACAUGCAAGUCGAACGGUAACAGGUUAAGCUGACGAGUGGCGAACGGGUGAGUAAUGCAUCGGAACGUGCCCGGUCGUGGGGGAUAACACUUCGAGAGAAGUGCUAAUACCGCAUACGAUCUGAGGAUGAAAGCGGGGGACCGUAAGGCCUCGCGCGAUCGGAGCGGCCGAUGUCAGAUUAGGUAGUUGGUGGGGUAAAGGCUCACCAAGCCGACGAUCUGUAGCAGGUCUGAGAGGACGACCAGCCACACUGUGACUGAGACACGGCCCAGACUCCUACGGGAGGCAGCAGUGGGGAAUUUUGGACAAUGGGCGCAAGCCUGAUCCAGCAAUGCCGCGUGCAGGAAGAAGGCCUUCGGGUUGUAAACUGCUUUUGUACGGAGCGAAAAGGCUCUCUCUAAUACAGGGGGCUCAUGACGGUACCGUAAGAAUAAGCACCGGCUAACUACGUGCCAGCCGCCGCGGUAACAC
rnacentral:rRNA from 1 species